UCUAUUUUUCUUCUCAUCUACUCUCUUUUCUCUUUUCUCAUCUACUUAUAUUUCUUUUCUCAUCUACUCUAUUUCUUCUCUGGUUAUCUUGAGUUUGAAAGGUGUGCAGGUCUGCUAUGCAACAUUGGCUAAGUAAAGGAAACUUGCUGAUGCAGUUAUACGAAAAAGUAAUAAGAAAAAGAAGACCAUAUUGCCUUAUAUAUGAGUAGAACUUUGAAAGUUUAUGAAAUGGUGAUGAAAUCAAGCACAAGGACUUGUUAGGAUUUUACUAGUUGUAUGUUAUCGAAGAAAUGCUUGGUUUGGAAUAGUAUAAAGCAAAGCAGCGAACAGCCACUUGAUGUAAGAAUGCUGCAAGGCAACAUGAUUUCUGAUUGUCUCUUGAGAGCAGCACUUUGUUGGGGUUAUUACCUUUUGGACUCAGCCAUGUUAUAUUUUUGUUUUCUUAUUCUUCUUGACUAUCCUUUCCUUUAUGUUUGGUGUUGAAGUGUGUUUUGGGGGUUAGGGAGGAUCGCAGAGAAAAUUUUCAGUGGCAUUUAAAAGUUGUACUAUGUGAAAGAUUUUUCCAAGGGUCUGCACAUGAUGAUGAAUUUGGAUAAGAUGAGCCAGGCAAUAGAUGUGUGAAACAUGAAAAGAGAUGUGAAGUUUAUUGACACUUUUUUAUCAUUAAUUUCAUUAGAUAAGACUAUUUUUGUUAGACUGUUAUGUUCAUGAGUCAAGGAUCGCGUCACGGGUCUAUGAACUAUAAAAUCUCCUUCAGAACUUGUAGCUUUACCCUCAUUGCGAUUCUUCCCUCUUGUAGAACCUAUGAUGAUAGACUGUGGACUCGUCGGAGGGAGCCCGAACCUCAAGACUCGUUGAAAGUGAGAGAGCCUUAAACCUCACUGAAAUUUCAGAGAUAAUUUUCGAUGGUUUUAUUCAAUAAAAUUCUGCCUUUUUAUAACAAGGCUUACACAGCAAAAGGAAUCCAUAAAAGAAGAAAUUCCUAACUAAAUAGGAAUACAAUUAUUUAGAAAAUAUCAUAAAGAAACUAAUCCCUAAAAUUACUCUUCCAGAAUCAUUGACUCUAAAUUAAAAGAUAAUAUUUGAUUCCUGAAAUCAUACUGUCACAUUAAGCUCUUUUGCCACUGAUCCUGCUGGUCCCACGUCGAUGAUAGUUCUGCCCAACAAAAGCGUCCACAACGUAGACCUUAACAGAGCCUAAUGAAAUGCAGUGUUAAGAAAGCACAAUUGCAGAAUGAG
rnacentral:misc_RNA from 1 species